CAAAGGAGGGAAUUUGGACGGAGGUCCCGGGAUGGCAAUUAUAUUUGGGAAGGCAGGCCGAUCGCAUUUUGGAAAGGCAUUGCAAGACAAACAUCAAACAUCCAUAUCGAGUGGGCCACGAUUCUAUAAAGGUGACAUCGCAAUUGACACCAAUGACUUUCGUGCAGAGGACAAGCUGUUAUAUGACACAGUUUGAGCAUGGCAUUUGCGCAGCGUCCAAGGUGAAAGAGGCGCUUCUUUUUCCCUCGGUGAUCUCCAAGACUGUUGCUUACGGAACGUUUUUCUUUCACGUUCCUUUAUAACGAGAAGGAUUUUAAAGAUA